rnacentral:rRNA from 1 species
CCUACGGGAGGCAGCAGUGGGGAAUCUUGCGCAAUGGGCGAAAGCCUGACGCAGCAACGCCGCGUGGGUGAUGAAGGUCUUCGGAUUGUAAAACCCUGUCGUUAGGGACGAAGACAUGAAUCCUAAUACGAUUCAUGUUUGACGGUACCUAGAAAGGAAGCCCCGGCUAACUCUGUGCCAGCAGCCGCGGUAAUACAGAGGGGGCAAGCGUUAUUCGGAAUUAUUGGGCGUAAAGGGUGCGUAGGCGGUUUUCUAAGUCAGAUGUGUAAUCCCCGAGCUCAACUUGGGAACUGCAUCUGAAACUGGGAGACUAGAGUACUGGAGAGGAUGGUGGAAUUCCACGUGUAGCGGUAAAAUGCGUAGAGAUGUGGAGGAACACCAGUGGCGAAGGCGGCCAUCUGGACAGUAACUGACGCUGAAGCACGAAAGUGUGGGUAGCAAACAGGAUUAGAUACCCUGGUAGUCCACACCGUAAACGAUGAACACUUGGUGUAGUGGGAGUUGACCCCCACUGUGCCGUAGCUAACGCGAUAAGUGUUCCGCCUGGGGAGUACGGUCGCAAGGCUGAAACUCAAAUGAAUUGACGGCUGAGACAGCGAGACGACGACGAGGGAGGAGG